CCCCGAGUGACAGGAAGGCCUUCACUGACGCUGAUGUGGAUUAAGCUGGAUGUGCAGCCUCAAGGUCACUGGCACAGCUGUGGCUUCGACUGCUCUCGGAGGAUCUAGGUGAGGGGGCUGCCUAGGAGGACACCAAACCUCACACUGGAGAUGAAAGGCAAAGGCUUAGCGUUCCCACCCUGCACUGAGCGGCCAUUCCUGGGCAGGUCCAGCCGAGCACAGACGGCGCCUCCAGAAGUUUGUGGUGGGCAACCUUGCAGUGGGUAGAAAUCAAAGAUACUGUUUGCCGAGUGUUGCUGCCUGUUGAGUAACAGGCACAGUCCUGUUCAGUGCUAAGAGGAGUUAUCACCACCACAUUACAGAUGAAGAACCAAGCUCAGGGACUUGAGGAAGGUUCCCAUGGUCCCAGAGCUAGUUGGAGGUGGAGCUGGGAUUUGAACCUCGUCUGUCUGGUUGAGAGCCAUGGGUGCACUGCCCAGUGGAGCCCCGCCUGUCAGACCCCGUCCAUGCUACCUCGGCCCUCUCCCCACCUUGCCCUGCCCCUGCCCCCUCCCACCAGCACCUUCUGACCUGGGCAGGGCAGCCAGGGGUUGGAUGUGGAAGCACAGGGCUGAGCCAGGGCUUAGUGAAGCCCUCCCAGCUCAACUUGAUGGCUGCCGGGUGGUUUUCUCCCUUCUUUCCUUUCGUUCAGUUUAAGUUCGUAGUGGCCAUGCUGCUCCAAUAUCGUCCACUGGCGUCCCAGCACUUUCUCUAUGGGGAAAGGACAGGACUGGUCUUAGCUUGUGGCAAGAGGAGAAGACCACUGAGCUGCAGGCCUUCCUGGCAACACGAGGGUCACCGUCCCUGUGGGACCUGCUCCUGGGCUCCCUUUGAGAGGAGCAGAGGGGAGCUGGCUCCCUUUGCUGGUGCUGGAGACUCAGAGCCACUCUGGAAUGAUCUGAAGUGUGGUCGGGUUGAAGGGGGACAAGCUGCGACCCCAUCUGUGCUCAGCCCUCAGCCUGCAGUCCCAUUAUCCUCAGGGGUGGCAGACUGGGGACCUAUGGCCACAUGUUCUCUUUGGCCAACGCAGUGUCUCAUGAUUUUGAACUUGGGUGCUUGUGCUCCUUUAUUCUUCCCCAUAACUCCCACUUGUUCUACUUACUACGAUCAACAUUUGCCUUCUUGCUACCUGGUGAGUAUCGCCCUCCCCACACUUCCGGGGGAUGCCAGUGGCCCUGGGAAAGGUGGAACCUCUUCAUUGCCAUGAAGGAGCUAUUUGCGCUUAGCCGCCCUCUGAUAACUCCAGUCAGCUAGGGUCUGGGCAGCUUGGGGGCAGGUUGCGUCAUUUCGGGGCCUGAGGCACUGCCCUGGAGUUGUGCAAGGGAACCCAAGGGACAAGUGCCCUGGUCAGGUAACAGUGGGAGAUUCUUGGCCAUCUUCACCUUUUUUUCCAGGAUGGGCCUCCAUGGGAGUAUCCUAGCCACUAUUUUCUUUAAGUACCUCCCACGGGCCCAGGAUUGUGUUAGAUGCUUCAGAGACAUCAUCCGAGUCAGCUCUCUGAUGUGAGGGUAUUAUCCACAUCACAGACAGGACAAUUGAGGCUCGUAGAGGAAGGGUCACUUGCCCAAGUCGUCACUGCGGACAAGAGGCCACAGGGGUCCAGAGCUCAUGCGUCUGCAUGGCAUCGUGGUGACACAUCUUUACAUGUCAGCAGCAUCUCUUUUUAUCAAUUUCAUCAAAGUGGAUUCAUGGAACGUCUCCUUCUUGCCAGGAUCCAGGCUGGAUGGCUAUAGUCCAAGCCCCUGACUACUUCCUGGGCUGACGGGGGAGAGGCAAGAUGAGCAAGCAAGAGCCUUCUAAAUCACAGACAUGACGUAGUGCCGGAAUAUUCCCGCCACCGCCACCAACAAGACAUCCAGCAACGUUUCCUGAGGGCUAACUGUGUCCCAGGCUGUCCCCGGGCUUCAUGGGUAUUAACUCUCUCAAGAGCCUGAACGAGUGGGGACAGCCACCAUCUCCAUUUUAGACAGGAGGUUACUGGAUCACAGAGAGGUUAGGUAAUGUGCCCAAAGCCACACAGCUAACAAGUGCAGGGCCAGCGUGUCUUAACCAUGGUAUCGGCCAACAGAGCUGCAAAGCACUGCAGAAACACAGAAGGUAGAGCAACCUCACAGACUACCUCACUGGCCGCUUGCCACAGGCCCACAAGUGAGACUAAGUGACAGACUCGGAGGAGGUCAGUGACACACCUGCCCAAGAUCUUCAGCUAGUAACUAGUGGGGCUGGGUUUUCAACCCAGACUUCAUUCCUGCCUUUACCUCGAACUAGCUGGGAAGGACUCAUUAGCUGACAGAGAGGAGGUGAUGCGAAUACUGCAGAACGGGAGCAUCCUUCGAAAUUCUCAGCCCUGGGGUUGAAGCCUUCCGUAAUUCAGUUGAUGAAGUGAAGUGCCUGCUGACCUGGCUCUGUCGGAAGGGGCUUUGCCAAAAGCCUCCGUCCCCUGUUUGAGUUGUGCAGCCUGCCUCUGAUUGACGCCCGCUCAGCCUCUCAAUCCCCGAGAGUGAUUCCGUCUCAUGGAUGAGAGCCUCCGACAUCUGUACCUGUCGGGCGACAAAUCCAGACGCACACUCCCUGUCUGGUUAGAGAUGCAUCAGGCCUGAUUAGGCCUGUGAACCUGCCGGCUGCUCUCAAAUCCCUUUAGCUGAAAGUCUCAAAGAUAAAUGGAAAUCGGGGGCAAUUCUCGCCAGGAAGUUGCCUCGUGACGUGGAGUGAAAGGUCUAGAGGAGCGACAUGGGGGAGUGGGCAGGAGGACCCCUAUGUGAUGCUGGGGUGGAAGAAAUGGCCGACCAGCAGGUGCAUGGCAAGGAGGCCCUGUCCCUCUCAGAUGACCUCAGUAAAGGCCACACCGGCUGCUGCCCGCCCUGCCUGACUCUCUGAGCCACUCCUUUGCCACCUACUUUUCCUCCACCUUUGCUCCCAAACCUGUCCCAGCACCCCCUCUCUUUCUCUCCCUUGGAAGCCCCUGCCUGCCUGCCCACCUCUCACCGCUCUCCUGCUGUGGGGACCAGGGUAGCACAGCAGCCUGCAGCAUGUCCACUGCCCCCAGUAGGCACCAUCACUAGUGCUCAGGGGACAGGCUGAUGAUGCAGGCCAGGCAGGGGACAGGACAAGGCAAGGAAGGGAGGGCAGCACUGGAGAUGGGAAGACUCAGCUCAAGGACCUCUGAGAUCCAGGAGACAUACCUCCUCCCCUCCUAGGAUGGGGAGCAGGGGUUCCAGCACAGAGGCUGGGGACAAGGGCAGAGGUGGCCUGUGGGAGGGAUGCCUCUUCCUCCAGACUCAGGAUGCAUCUGCUUCCCUCUUUCCCCUUCCAUCUCUCUGUUCUCCACUCUAGCUCUCUGUCUCUGGGCUUCUCUAACUCAGCCCCUUGGUCUCUUUAUAUCUCCAGCUCUAUGCAGUGUAAAGGAUGAGUUGGAAUAACUUUUCAGCAUUAACCACCGCUCCUGUGUGGGGGAACAUUAUCUUAAUUGAGUCUCAGCUUGUUCACAGCCACUCAGCUGCCAUAAAUAAUGGAUGUCCAAAUGGACUGUAAACCAGAAGAACUGAACAAUGCUGCACGUUGCCAUUGCCACUAGCUUCAGCCUUCUGCAAGGAGCCCAGCCUCCCUCUUAAGAAAGUAUGGCCCAAGCUUGUCACAGCCAGACAUCCAGAGAUUCCCAAUGAGAAGUCCUGUAGUGGCAUGGACCAAAGGGAAGCUGUAGGGAAGGAACUGGGAACUUGCCCAUCCUCUGUUCCUUUUAGUGCGAGGGCAGUGAGUGUCCCCCAGAGAUGCAGGUCUUCUGGGCAAACCAUCCUGCCCACGAUAUCGAUAAGACACCGAAACCGACCCACACUUUCCCAUGUGCACCAGCAGAUGGUCUCUUGGUCUGUAGCUUAAAUCCUGGAGUAUGAAUCCUGUGGCCGUCUGCUUACCAGGUCCCUGAUGAAUACACCAUCCUCUGUGCAUAAAGCAAGCUGCUGUUUAGAGAGUCUGAAGCUAUUUAACACACUUGUGCUGUUUGCAGAACCUCCUUGUUUAUAGAGCCAGCCAAUGAUUGCAAAUGAGGGCUGUGUGCAGAUUCAGAUGCUGUUGGCUGCCUCUGCCCCUGAAUUCAUAGUCAGAGGCUUCACUCAUUCCCAAAUCCCAGUUCCCACUUGUUCUCCCCCUCCUUUUGACUGCUCUACCUGCCCAGGGUCUUCACCGCUGCCCGGUGGACCACCCAUGUCAAAGGUAUCCCCAUCCGCUGUCUCCCACACUGCUGCUGUGCUCAGAAAUAGCCUCUGAUAAUAGGGCCCCCAAAUUCCUUUCAGAUCUUGAGGUUUUCGGGUUGGGGGGGUUGAGAGCCCUCUGGAAAGGCCACCCUGUGCUACACAGCAGUGCCUGGUAGGUGAGGUUCUCGGUGCCUCGGGGCUUGCUUUUAAAGCUCUGGGCAAACACAAGCUAUUAAUAAAUCUCAGUGUCCGCUUUAUUCUAA